CUUAACCACUGGACUGCCAGGGAGGUCCCUAUCCUAUAGCUUUGACUGGGGAUUAGUUCAAAGCACUUGAAAGGAGAAUGAAGAGAUUCUUAUGAAUAUUAGAAAUACCCUGAUCAAUUAUUAUCAAUUAAACAAGAGUGAGAACCAUCACUGUGCAACUAAAUUUCCCUAAAAAGACUCCAUUUAGGAUUGGUCUCGGUCCUGGAGCGGGAGGUGCGCUGGACCACUCCUACCAGCAAAAGCUUUGCGGCCACUCUGUCCCAGGUGAUGACAACUCCCCGACAAAGAUCUCAAACACACGUGUUCCUGCUCUGCCUCACUUCUCCCGCUCCCCUGGCCUUAAUUCUCUUAGAACCCCACCCGUAAGUCAGUAUUUCCUAGACAAAUCUUGCUUUCAAACUAAUGGAUAGAUUUCACGGAAGAUGAACAAAAGCUAUUCUCUUCUUCCUGUUCCCAUUAAGUGAUUAACCGGUGCGAUCAGGAAAAUACCGUUUCUGUUUAAAAGGAGAAAUAUUUAGAGAGCAAAUUUCCUUCACCUUUUCCCAACUGUUUUCAGAAAACAAGAAAACAGUAGCUUGUUCUGGUGCCUGAUCCCGCCCCCUCCUCUCGCAGCGCUCCCUCCUCCCUCUCCGGCGCGCCCCCCCACCCCAACUCCCCACCACACUCCUUCAACUACAAGAAGAGGUUAUCAAGGUGAUAAUAAGCGAGAAAAUGUUCCAACCUUGUUUUAAGCCUCAGCCACAUUGCACUGCUUAAAAGAGGUUAAAUGCUUGUGUGAACCCGUGUUUUCCACACCCGGCCAGGCAGCCCUAAGCCGGGCUGAUCCCGCCUCGCCUCGCCCCCUCUCCGCCAGAGACUAGUGGUUCAGGAUGAUUGAGGUGGUCUCAGCCUCCCCAGCAGCUGCUGACUUGCACUUGGAAAUUCAAUCCUCUCAAGGAUGACUAAAAGUGAAGAGCUCCUUUCCUGUUGUCAUGAAGGCAGCUGUCUAGUUGAGUUGCUUCUCUAGCAAGAACAGUCGGUGUCAUUAAUUUUUUCUCCGUACUGUGUGGGCUGUGGAACAUGAAACCGACUUGAUUGAUCACAUUGCCACUUCAAAACGGGAGUCUUCGGAGGCAGUUCUUGAAGGGUGGUUGAAGAAAGGGGUUUGGAAUAUUCUGUGUGGCUUUCGAGAAACAAUUGAAACCUACUUGACUCCAUUGGAAGCUUCUAGGCUCAAACUGUCUACUGCAUAAUUCCCUCUAGUCUGGUGUGUCUCAGACUCCAAAGUGCAUACAAAUAUCCUGUGGAUCUUGUGAAAAUGCACAUACUGAUUCAACAUAACCAUGGAGGGGCCUGAGAUUCUGCAUUUCUCACAAGCUCUCAGGGGGCACUGAAGCUGCUGGUGUAUGGAUUAUACUUUGGGUAGACUGUGCUGUCUGCAGAAAACCUCUGAAGCCAUCUUCAGUUGGGUGAUGAUUUUGGAGCCUGCCUCUGAUUCUGCCAGAAUUCAUGGAGAAUGCCUCCUUAUCAUUUUUUGGUGAAGAGUCAUUAUUUAUGAGUACUGUAUAUCUCUUUUCUCCAAAGAUGAGGUCUACCUGCAAUCUAUAAAGCCCAUAUAUAGCAACGCAUCUUUUUCUCAGAGUGGUGCUAACAUUGCUGGUGGUGAAGCCCUAAGUACAAACCUGUUUUAGGAAAGAAAUUCAUCUUGUUAGAGGGAGCUGAGUACUUACAAGGCAGAUAACGUUCUGCAGUUGCUGAAUUGAUGAAGAGAGGCACCGGGAUUCAGACUUAACUAUUUUUCAUUCUUUGAAUGAAGUCUAUCUUCUGAAUUACAUGAGCUGUGUGAAGCGGGGAAGGAGAGCAAUGGUUCUGGAAACAAAAACAGAGUUCUUAUCUUUUAAUACAGGAGAGAGUGCCUCGGGAUAUUAUUAUUUGUGAUUUAUGGGGUGCAUAGCAAUAUGACCAGUGUCUCUCCACAGCAGACAGAGGACUCUGGCCCUCUGCCUUUGAUGAACUCUUGUUUCUUCCCAGGGGCAAUUUUCCACUGUAGAAUAGCUGCCGCAUCACAAAAUUUUGGCUUAAAAAAAUCAUACUGAAUGAGCUGCUUGGAGACUUGGUUUUUGUUUUCAGUCCUGCUACUGACUUUUUCUGACUUUGUCUAAAUUCCUUAUAUCUUCUGCCCUGUUAAUAAGGCCAGUCACUCUUGCUAUCAAACAUUUGCUUUUGAAAUACCCUGAGAUGUUUAUUAGCUAAAUUAGUCUCGAGUAUUUGUGAAAACUCGAUUUCCUUCUGAAGAUAUAUCAGAUUCUUCUGACAAGAUCAAACUGUGUAAAUGAAUAAAACCAACUAAACAAACAAAGCAGAAGACUCUUGGACCAUCAUUUGUGAGGAAGGAGUAGAAGGCAAGGCAAGUUUCCCCCCUCCCUUUCUUCCUUCCUUCUGUCUUUUUUAAAACUUUAUUUUGAAAUAUUUUAGAUUUAUAGAAAAGUUGCAAGAAUAGUAUAAAGGUUGCCCAAAUGUUAACAUUUUUACCAUGCUUGCUGUCAUCUCUCUCUUUCCAUCUAUAUCUAUGUUUUGUUGACCCAGUUGAGAGUACGUGAAAGACAAAAUAGAUGCUCCUUAUGCUUAAAUACUUCAGUGAAUAUUCUAAGCAUGUACGUAACCACAGUACAGUUAUUAAAAUCAAGAUUAAACUGACAACACUAUUAAACCUAUAGACUUUAUUCAAAUUUGAAGCCCAGUGUGCUGCAGUCCAUGGGGUCACAAAGAGUCAGACUCAACUGAGUGACUGAACUGACUGAAUAUGUCUUUUAAAGUAAGACAAA